UACGAAGGGGGCUAGCGUUGCUCGGAAUCACUGGGCGUAAAGCGCACGUAGGCGGAUCUUUAAGUCAGGGGUGAAAUCCCAGGGCUCAACCUUGGAACUACCUUUGAUACUGGGGAUCUCGAGUCCGGAAGAGGUGAGUGGAACUGCGAGUGUAGAGGUGAAAUUCGUAGAUAUUCGCAAGAACACCAGUGGCGAAGGCGGCUCACUGGUCCGGUACUGACGCUGAGGCGCGAAAGCGUGGGGAGCAAACAGG
rnacentral:rRNA from 1 species